ensembl:lncRNA
GUGGUGGCUUACUAGCGUUGUUGAGCUGUGGCGGGUUAUUAGUAUUGUUGAGCUGUGGCGGGUUAUUAGUAUUGUUGAGCUGUGGUGGGUUAUUAGUGUUGUUGAGCUGUGGCGGGUUAUUAGUAUUGUUGAGCUGUGGCGGGUUAUUAGUGUUAUUGAGCUGUGGCGGGUUAUUAGUGUUGUUGAGCUGUGGCGGGUUAUUAGCGUUGUUGAGCUGUGGUGUGUUGUUGAGCUGUUAUUAGCAUUGUUGAGCGGUGGUGGGUUAUUAGUGUUAUUGAGCUGUUAUUAGCGUUGUUGAGCUGUGGUGUGUUAUUAGUGGCGUUGAGCUGUUAUUAGUGUUGUUGAGCUAUGGUGGGUUAUUAGUGUUGUUGAGCUGUGGUGGGUCAUUAGUGUUGUUGAGGUGUUAUUAGUGCUGUUGAGGUGUUAUUAGUGUUGUUGAGCUGUGGUGGGUUAUUAGUGUUGUUGAGCUGUUAUUAGUGUUGUUGAGCUGUGGUGGGUCAUUAGUGUUGUUGAGCUGUGUGUUGAGCUGUGGUGGGUCAUUAGUGUUGUUGAGCUGCGGUGGGUCAUUAGUGUUGUUGAGCUGUGGUGGGUCAUUAGUGUUGUUGAGCUGUGGUGGGUCAUUAGUGUUGUUGAGCUGUGGUGGGUCAUUAGUGUUGUUGAGCUGUGGUGGGUUAUUAGUAUUGUUGAGCUGUGGCGGGUUAUUAGUAUUGUUGAGCUGUGGCGGGUUAUUAGUGUUGUUGAGCUGUGGUGGGUUAUUAGUGUUGUUGAGCUGUGGUGGGUCAUUAGUGUUGUUGAGCUGUGGUGGGUCAUUAGUGUUGUUCAGCUGUGGUGUGUUAUUAGUGUUGUUGAGCUGUGGUGGGUCAUUAGUGUUGUUGAGCUGUGGUGGGUUAUUAGUGUUGUUGAGCUGUGGUGUGUUAUUAGUGUUGUUGAGGUGUUAUUAGUGUUGUUGAGCUGUGGUGGGUCAUUAGUGUUGUUGAGCUGUGUGUUGAGCUGUGGUGGGUCAUUAGUGUUGUUGAGCUGCGGUGGGUCAUUAGUGUUGUUGAGCUGUGGUGGGUAAUUAGUGUUGUUGAGCUGUGGUGGG